GCACGCGCUGGACUCGCAGGUCACGCCGCUCGUGACGGCGUUCCAGCCGGACUUCGCGUUCUACCUCGCGGGCGCGGACG
rnacentral:tRNA from 1 species